rnacentral:lncRNA from 1 species
UGUCCGGCGAGAUGACCUCCUGCUGCUGGGCCUGGAUGGCCCCCAGGAUUCCCCAGAGCAGGAGCACGGAGCAGGUGCCCUGGAGCAUCUUGGCAGCACCUGUGGCCCUGAAGUCCUGCAACAGGGGUGGGGGUCGCUCAGACACCCCCAGUGCCUCUCCCCUGGCACCCUCCCCCAUGGCAGGCGCACGCACAGCAGAUGGGAGGAGUGUCCAAGCACCGGGACUAGGGGAGGCGCUGCCAGGAGAGGGCCCUGAAGGGUUGCUGUGAUUUUGCGGCGUCUGGAGUGGAUGAGGUGACCCAGGCCAGACCUGCUCAGCCUGGGGCCCAGGGAGGAAUGAAGUCCGUUCCCAAAGGUGCCAGCUCAGGCAGUUUGUGGGUCUGGAGACCCUGCCCCAGGCUGCGAGAGGACAUGGCCAGGUACCAUGCUCCACGGAGCCAGCAGGAGCCGGGGAUAAGUGGGAUCCCUGCCCCUUGCAGUUUGGCGAGGUGAGAGUUCCCCAGGUACAACUGCCCAAGUCGUGGCUGUGGAUCUGGGCCUUCUGCUCCAUGGAGGAGGCAGGAGCCAGCCCCCACUCCUGGUGCAGUUUCAGCUGCCCCAACUGGGGCUGCUGACCCAGGCAUCGCUGCACUCUUGGGGAGCCAGGGAAGGCCCCUCUUUCCCUUGUAGGCCUGGAGGUGCCUGUUCCCGCUGCCCAGCUUCUUCCCGCUCCCACCACCCACUCCAAUCUCAGAGCAGAGUUGGGGCUGAGCCUGGGCACUGUCACAGCCUGGCCGGGUGGGUGCAUGCUUGUGGCAGUGCUGACAUGCCAGCCCCCUGCUGACUUGGCCCCCUCCAAACUGUGGGCACUGAGAAGUGCAGGAGGGGAGGCUUGGGGGGGUGCUGAGGGUGGCUGGGCACCGGUGCCCCUUGGUACCAGCAGCCUGGGCACCAUGGAUGGCUGCAGGAGGCAGAUAGGCUCCUGGGCAGAAGAGGAUGGGUCCCCAGUGAAGCCCCACCUUCAGGCUGGGGCAGGCCUGAAGCCUGGGGGCCGGGUUGCCCGUCCUACGGACCAGAGGGGAACUCAAGGUGCUUUCUUCUGGGCCUGCACAUGGCUGCACAUGGACCAAUCAGCAUGCACUUCCCCUCUCUGAGGCCUUUAAAAGCCCCAGGCUCAGUCAGAGCAGGGCAGAGCAUGGCACGACCAGCUGCAGAGAGGAGGUGCUCUCUCUGCUGAGAGCUUCAGGACCUGAAGGGAUGUCAGGACGACCAGCUGCAGAGAGGAGCUACCCUCUCCAGGGCUUUCUCUCUGCUGAGAGCUGAACACUAGUUGAGAUGCCCUGUUUGCAGAGAGGAGACACGCUCUCGAGGGCCUCCUCUCUGCUAAGAGCUGCAGAGACAAUGGGAUGACCUGCCUGCAGAGAGGAGCCACCCACUCCAGGGCCUUCUCUCUGCUGAGAGCUGAACAUUUGACAAGACAACCCGCCGACAAGACAACCCGCCUACAGAGAGGGGCUGCCCCCUGCGGGUCUCCUGUGAGCUCCCCUAACACUCAAUAAAGCUUCUCUGUCUUGCACACCCU